CAACAGAGCAAGAGUCUGUCAAAAUAAAAAAGAAGAAAAAAAGAAGAAAGAUUUUAAUUAUUUUUAUCAACAAUUAUACAUUUUCAGUCUACUGUUAUGAAUUGCCACAACUUGGAGGCUUAGAACAACACAAAUUAGUACUCUCACAGUCCUGAAGGCUACAGCUCUGCAAUCAAGAUAUCAGCAAGGCCAUCAUUCCACUAAGGCUCUAAGGAAGAAUCCAUUUUUGCCUCUUCCUGCUUCUGGGAUGCAUCCACUUUAUUAGACGGCAAACUAGAAAAUGCUUCCUACAGUCGCCACAUAAAAAGUUAUACAGAGAAGAGAGAGGAUGGCCUAGAGUCCCUACAAUCUUGUGUGCAUCAUGGAAUCCUAAACGAAGAAUUAUCAUCAUGCCAAACAAAUUAUCAUCGGUGCCAAUGAUGUGAGAAUUGAGCAGAAAGAGCAAUGCAACAGGUUUUCUUUUCUGGCCAUGCCAAGGUGGAAGGUGAUCUUAAUUGAAGAAAGAAUGCUCAAAGUAGGCAAUGCUAUGUCUUAUCAACAAAUACUUACCAGCAUGUACAUUGCUGCUCAGAAACACAUUUGAUGAUGGAUCAGAAGUUUCCUCCUAUUUAAUGUGGUGAUAAAAAUAACUUCUAAGUAAUUCAGUUCAUAGAACCAUGAAGGACUGGGUUUGAGAUUAUGCUUUGAAUACCAUAAAGUGAUGAACACAGAGACUGAGAAAAAAAGAGGAGGAGAAGGAGUGGAAGGAUAAAUGUAUGUA
rnacentral:lncRNA from 1 species